UAGGGAAUCUUCCACAAUGGACGAAAGUCUGAUGGAGCAACGCCGCGUGAGUGAAGAAGGGUUUCGGCUCGUAAAACUCUGUCGUUAAAGAAGAACAUAUCUGAGAGUAACUGUUCAGGUAUUGACGGUAUUUAACCAGAAAGCCACGGCUAACUACGUGCCAG
rnacentral:rRNA from 1 species